UGAGCAGCACUGCGCCCCUGUUGCUUUUCAAAUUAAAUAGAGUUGGCUGGUUCAGAGCGUCAACUAGAUGAUAACGUACAUAUAAGACCUCAAGACAAGCACAUUGAAUACUUGGGAAAAAAAGGAAUGGAGCAAUCACUUCUUAUAUCCAUACAUUUUCUAAGUCAAUUAUCCAUUUAUACAAGUGACAGAAUGGAAUGUGCCUUGCUUAUUGGCAAGAAGCUAGCACUGGCCUAAACUUUUAAGUAACUAUAGACUUUCAGGAAUGCAGCAAGAUGGUAUUAUUAUAGAACCUUCAGCCAUUCCACACCUGAAUGAAGAAUCUUCUAUUUAUGAAUCUCUAGUCCAUCUUCCUCUAAAAAAAAGUUCUUUGUUGCCCACUUUCACUGGAACCUCUCAAGACCUUGAGAAAUCAAAACAGCAAGCAUUGAUGCCACCCUACUCAGUACCUGACGUCCAACACAAUUCUUAUGCAACACUCUUCCCAAAAUGGAAGAGCACUGGAAUUAAGCAAGAAAUGCCCUAAGGGGUUCAAACUUCACCCACAGAGUACCAAGUGAGUUUGCCUGCCUCAGAUUAGAUCUGGGCCAUCUAGUGCCAGAAGAUGCAGUUUAGCUCUUAAUAUUUGGCACUAUUGGAUCAUGUAAAGCUAGAAGAGACAUGUCUGAUAGUUAAUUAUUCCUGAACUGUUUUAUUUCCUACACAGACACCAUCUUUCAUGGUACAGAGUAAUCCGCUGGUCUAAUUACUCCAAGAUCUGUAGCAACGGUCCAAGCGCUUGAAAGGUCUUCCACUAUAGCCUGUUCAUAAAUCAUGCCCCCUCACUUGAAUGAUGAGUAUGGAAGUACAGAGGAAGAGAAAGUGAGGGAGAUCAAAGUGGAGGUGGAAAGGUAAAGUAAAAGAAGAUCUGGAGGAAGAGGGCUUGACUGAUGAUGAGGUGCAGGACUGAGCUGUAUGGAGAAGGUUGAUAGACACCGCACAGAAGUGGGAAAAAUGAAGAGGAGGAAGAAGAAGAAGAUCCACACCUGAUCAUCCAUAUUGAACCUGUGUAUCUAGUUACUAACUUGUUGACAGUAUAGUAAAGACAAAGAAACAAACAAUAUCAACAAAUGUAAAGUAAAGCAUUAUAUGAAAUGCUGUAACAUAAAAAUACUACUGCUAUAAACAUUAUUGUAUGUACAUAACACCGAGGCAAGCAUUCUUAUUAAGGAAAUGCUAAAUAUUGCACUUUAAGGAAUGUUACUUCCUAAAUAUACAAUAAACAGGUAAUACAAGAUACUGUCCAUACAAUUAAA